UGCAGCUCGAGCUGCGCGCUACGAUAACAAUACGGAUGGCGCACGGCGCACGGGUGCGUAACACGUGGGCAAUCUGCCCUUCGAUGGGGAAUAACUCCGGGAAACCGAAGCUAAUUCCGCAUAACAUUCCUUGGACUCCGGUUCGAGGAUUCAAAGCCGUAAGGCGUCGAAGGAGGAGCCCGCGCCCGAUUAGCUAGUUGGUAGGGUAACGGCCUACCAAGGCUUUGAUCGGUAGCUGGUCUGAGAGGAUGGCCAGCCACACUGGAACUGAGACACGGUCCAGACUCCUACGGGAGGCAGCAGUGGGGAAUCUUGCGCAAUGGGCGAAAGCCUGACGCAGCGACGCCGCGUGGGGGAUGAAGCAUCUCGGUGUGUAAACCCCUUUCGACUGGGACGAAUGCCUCGCAAGAGGAGUGACGGUACCAGUAGAAGAAGCCCCGGCUAACUACGUGCCAGCAGCCGCGGUAAGACGUAGGGGGCCAGCGUUGUUCGGAAUUACUGGGUGUAAAGGGUCAGUAGGCGGUGUGGCAAGUCGGGAGUGAAAUCUAUGGGCUCAACCCAUAGGCUGCUUCCGAAACUGCCAUGCUUGAGUGUGGGAGAGGCGCGUGGAAUUGCAGGUGUAGCGGUGAAAUGCGUAGAUAUCUGCAGGAACACCCGUGGCGAAAGCGGCGCGCUGGACCACAACUGACGCUGAAUGACGAAAGCUAGGGGAGCAAACAGGAUUAGAUACCCUGGUAGUCCUAGCCCUAAACGAUCAGGACUUGGGGUGCCGCACGUUCGUGCGUCGUCCCGGAGCUAACGCGUUAAGUCCUGCACCUGGGGAGUACGGUCGCAAGACUGAAACUCAAAGGAAUUGACGGGGGCCCGCA
rnacentral:rRNA from 1 species